rnacentral:rRNA from 1 species
GGGCUCACACAAGCGGUGGAGGAUGUGGCUUAAUUCGAGGCUACGCGAAGAACCUUAUCCUAGAUUUGACAUGCACGGAUUAACUCUGUGAAAGCAGAGCCACACUCUUUGAGUGGAACGUGCACAGGUGCUGCAUGGCUGUCGUCAGCUCGUGUCGUGAGAUGUCGGGUUAAGUCCCUUAACGAGCGAAACCCUUAUCGUUAGUUGCCAGCGAGUAAUGUCGGGGACUCUAGCGAGACUGCCGGUGUUAAACCGGAGGAAGGUGGGGAUGACGUCAAGUCCUCAUGGCCUUUAUGUCUAGGGCUGCACACGUCCUACAAUGGCGCGCACAGAGGGAAGCGAACUCGCGAGAGCAAGCAAA